AUUGAACGCUGGCGGCAGGCCUAACACAUGCAAGUCGAGCGAGCGGCGGACGGGGGAGUAAUGUCUGGGAAACUGCCUGAUGGAGGGGGAUAACAACUGGAAACGGUAGCUAAUACCGCAUACCAGCAGCUGUGCCCAGAUGGGAUUGGAUAGUAGGUGGGGUAAUGGCUCACCUAGGCCACUAUCCCUAGCUGGGCUGAGCGGAUGACCAGCCACACUGUAACUGAGACACGGUCCAGACUCCUACGGGAGGCAGCAGUGGGGAAUUUUGCACAAUGGGCGCAAGCCUGAUGCAGCCACGCCGCGUGUGUGAAGAAGGCCUUCGGGUCGUAAAGCACUGUUAGCGGGGAGGCGUUACCCGCAGAAGAAGCACCGGCUAACUCCGUGCCAGCAGCCGCGGUAAUAC
rnacentral:rRNA from 1 species